rnacentral:rRNA from 1 species
ACACAUGCAAGUCGAACGGGUAACGCGGGGAGAAGCUUGCUUCUCCCCGGCGACGAGUGGCGAACGGGUGAGUAAUACAUCGGAACGUGUCCGCUCGUGGGGGACAACCAGCCGAAAGGUUGGCUAAUACCGCAUGAGUUCUACGGAAGAAAGAGGGGGACCCGCAAGGGCCUCUCGCGAGCGGAGCGGCCGAUGAUUGAUUAGCCGGUUGGUGAGGUAACGGCUCACCAAAGCAACGAUCAGUAGCUGGUCUGAGAGGACGACCAGCCACACUGGGACUGAGACACGGCCCAGACUCCUACGGGAGGCAGCAGUGGGGAAUUUUGGACAAUGGGCGCAAGCCUGAUCCAGCUAUUCCGCGUGUGGGAUGAAGGCCCUCGGGUUGUAAACCACUUUUGUAGAGAACGAAAAGACACCUUCGAAUAAAGGGUGUUGCUGACGGUACUCUAAGAAUAAGCACCGGCUAACUACGUGCCAGCAGCCGCGGUAAUACGUAGGGUGCGAGCGUUAAUCGGAAUUACUGGGCGUAAAGGGUGCGCAGGCGGUUGAGUAAGACAGAUGUGAAAUCCCCGAGCUUAACUCGGGAAUGGCAUAUGUGACUGCUCGACUAGAGUGUGUCAGAGGGAGGUGGAAUUCCACGUGUAG